AGUAACACGUGGGCAACCUGCCCUCAGCUUCGGGAUAACACUUGGAAACAGGUGCUAAUACCGGAUGAUAACUGAUCAUCGCAUGGUGGUUGGUUCAAAGUUUUUCGGCUGAGGAUGGGCCCGCGGCCUAUCAGCUUGUUGGUGGGGUGAUGGCCUACCAAGGAGACGACGGGUAGCCGGCCUGAGAGGGCGACCGGCCACACUGGGACUGAGACACGGCCCAG
rnacentral:rRNA from 1 species